rnacentral:misc_RNA from 1 species
GAUGAAGAACGUAGCGAAAUGCGAUAAGUAAUGUGAAUUGCAGAAUUCAGUGAAUCAUCGAAUCUUUGAACGCACCUUGCGCCCUUUGGCCAUUCCGAAGGGCAUGCCUGUUUGAGUAUCAUGAACACCUCAACUCUCAUGGCUCGCCAUGAUGAGCUUGGAUUUGGGGGUCUUGCUGGCCUGUGGUCGGCUCCUCUCAAAUGGAUCAGCUUGCCAGUGUUUGGUGGCAUCACAGGUGUGAUAACUAUCUGCGCUUGUGGUUUUCCAUCAGAUAACCUUCAGUGAUGGAGGUUCGCUGGAGCUCAUAAACGUCUCCCCUAAGCGGGGACAGCCCUUUGAAUGUUUGAUCUCAAAACAGGUAGGACUACCCGCUGAACUUAAGCAUAUCAAUAAGCGGAGGA